UUGGAGGGCAGUCUGGUGCCAGCAGCCGCGGUAAUUCCAGCUCCAAUAGCGUAUAUUAAAGUUGUUGCAGUUAAAAAGCUCGUAGUUGAAUUUCGGGAUCAAUAUACCGGUCGUGCCUCAGGUAUGAACUGGUCUUAUUGGUUUCUCCUCCUCUGACGAACCAUGAUGUCAUUAAUUUGAUGUCGUGGAGAAUCAGGACUGUUACUUUGAAAAAAUUAGAGUGUUUAAAGCAGGCUAACGCUUGAAUACAUUAGCAUGGAAUAAUGAAAUAGGACGUUCGAUCCUAUUUUGUUGGUUUCUAGGAUCGACGUAAUGAUUAAUAGGGAUAGUUGGGGGCAUUAGUAUUCAAUUGUCAGAGGUGAAAUUCUUGGAUUUAUUGAAGACUAACUACUGCGAAAGCAUUUGCCAAGGAUGUUUUCAUUAAUCAAGAACGAAAGUUAGGGGAUCGAAGACGAUCAGAUACCGUCGUAGUCUUAACCAUAAACUAUGCCGACUAGGGAUCGGAUGAUGUUAAUUUUAUAAUGACUCAUUCGGCGCCUUACGGGAAAC
rnacentral:rRNA from 1 species